rnacentral:rRNA from 1 species
AUGGAUGCCACUAGUCAAGUGGGCACUCCUCUAUCCCAAAGAGAUCCAGGUCACACCCCUGCAUUUCAACAGUUUCAGAACAGGGAGAGACAACUAUGGCAAGGAUAUUACAAAACAUAUGAGCAGGACAUGCAAGCCCAAUUCAUGAAGGCUAUGACAAAAGGUCCUAAACUAGAAUUUCCUAAAUUCUUUGGAGAGGAUCCUGUGGGAUGGUUGAGACAAUGUAACAAAUACUUUCAAAUGUCUGGUGCUCCUGAAGAAUACAAAGUAUCCUUAGCACAGAUGUAUAUAAGUGGAGAGGCUGAUAUUUGGUUAAGAAGAUCUGGUCUGCUUAAAAAGCAUUUGACAUGGAAAUAA